GUAGGUGGCAAGCGUUGUCCGGAAUUAUUGGGCGUAAAGCGCGCGCAGGCGGUCCUUUAAGUCUGAUGUGAAAGCCCACGGCUCAACCGUGGAGGGUCAUUGGAAACUGGAGAACUUGAGUACAGAAGAGGAAAGCGGAAUUCCACGUGUAGCGGUGAAAUGCGUAGAGAUGUGGAGGAACACCAGUGGCGAAAGCGGCUUUUCUGGUCUGUAACUGACGCUGAGGCGCGAAAGCGUGGGGAGCAAACAGGGAUUAGAUACCCUGGUAGUCCACGCCGUAAACGAUGAGUGCUAAGUGUUAGGGGGUUUCCGCCCCCCUUAGUGCUGCAGCUAACGCAUUAAGCACUCCGCCUGGGGAGUACGGCCGCAAGGCUG
rnacentral:rRNA from 1 species